rnacentral:lncRNA from 1 species
UCUGGGUUGAAAGUGAAGAAGAAAAUGGAGUUGGACUCGGGUUGAGGCAGAGGGUAAAACAUGGAGGGAAAACUGAAGAGGCAUCUAAUCUGGGCAAAAGAGAGGGAUUAGAAAUCGGUGGUUUUCACCGAUUAGAAAAGUAAUGUAUUACACGCGUAUUAGCAAUACAUUGAACCAAACGACGAAAUAAAGAGAGAUUAGUGGGGCCCACCGAUUAGGGGUGUAUUGGCAUACAACCAAACAUGGCAUAAGUGAUCAAAAUGAAAGUUUU